AUUGAACGCUGGCGGCAGGCCUAACACAUGCAAGUCGAACGGUAACAGGAAACAGCUUGCUGUUUCGCUGACGAGUGGCGGACGGGUGAGUAAUGUCUGGGAAACUGCCUGAUGGAGGGGGAUAACUACUGGAAACGGUAGCUAAUACCGCAUAACGUCGCAAGACCAAAGAGGGGGACCCCCGGGCCUCUUGCCAUCGGAUGUGCCCAGAUGGGAUUAGCUUGUUGGUGGGGUAACGGCUCACCAAGGCGACGAUCCCUAGCUGGUCUGAGAGGAUGACCAGCCACACUGGAACUGAGACACGGUCCAGACUCCUACGGGAGGCAGCAGUGGGAAUAUUGCACAAUGGGCGCAAGCCUGAUGCGAGCCAUGCCGCGUGUAUGAAGAAGGCCUGG
rnacentral:rRNA from 1 species